rnacentral:tRNA from 1 species
GUCUCAGUAGCAUAGUGGUUAGUGCACCGUCCCGGAUAGGUUGAGACGCGGGUUCGAAUCCCGCCUGAAAUG